rnacentral:rRNA from 1 species
GGGGAAUAUUGGGCAAUGGGCGAAAGCCUGACCCAGCAACGCCGCGUGAGGGAAGAAGGCCUUCGGGUUGUAAACCUCUGUCCUAUGGGAAAAAGCAAGUGAUGGUACCAUAGGAGGAAGCUCCGGCUAACUACGUGCCAGCAGCCGCGGUGAUACGUAGGGAGCAAGCGUUGUCCGGAAUUACUGGGCGUAAAGGGUGCGUAGGCGGUUUAUCAAGUCAGGUGUGAAAGACUCGGGCUUAACCCGGGGGCUGCAUGUGAAACUGAUAGACUUGAGUGCAGGAGAGGAAAGUGGAAUUCCUAGUGUAGCGGUGGAAUGCGUAGAUAUUAGGAGGAACACCAGUGGCGAAGGCGACUUUCUGGACUGUAACUGACGCUGAGGUACGAAAGCGUGGGUAGCAAAC